rnacentral:misc_RNA from 1 species
GAUGAAGAACGCAGCGAAAUGCGAUAAGUAAUGUGAAUUGCAGAAUUCAGUGAAUCAUCGAAUCUUUGAACGCACAUUGCGCCCCCUGGUAUUCCGGGGGGCAUGCCUGUCCGAGCGUCAUUACAACCCUCAAGCUCAGCUUGGUAUUGGGCCCCGCCGCUCCGGCGGGCCCUAAAGUCAGUGGCGGUGCCGUCCGGCUCCGAGCGUAGUAAUUCUUCUCGCUCUGGAGGUCCGGUCGUGUGCUCGCCAGCAACCCCCAAUUUUUUUCAGGUUGACCUCGGAUUAGGUAGGGAUACCCGCUGAACUUAAGCAUAUCAAUAAGCGGAGGA